rnacentral:rRNA from 1 species
GUCGUACGGCAGCAUAGGUGCUUGCACCUGAUGGCGAGUGGCGAACGGGUGAGUAAUGCAUCGGAACGUGCCCAGUCGUGGGGGAUAACGCAGCGAAAGUUGUGCUAAUACCGCAUACGAUCUAUGGAUGAAAGCGGGGGACCUUCGGGCCUCGCGCGAUUGGAGCGGCCGAUGUUAGAUUAGGUAGUUGGUGGGGUAAAGGCUCACCAAGCCAACGAUCUAUAGCUGGUCUGAGAGGACGACCAGCCACACUGGAACUGAGACACGGUCCAGACUCCUACGGGAGGCAGCAGUGGGGAAUUUUGGACAAUGGGCGAAAGCCUGAUCCAGCAAUACCGCGUGCAGGAAGAAGGCCCUCGGGUUGUAAACUGCUUUUGUACGGAACGAAACGGCGUGCUCUAAUAAAGUGCGCUAAUGACGGUACCGUAAGAAUAAGCACCGGCUAACUACGUGCCAGCAGCCGCGGUAAUACGUAGGGUGCAAGCGUUAAUCGGAAUUACUGGGCGUAAAGCGUGCGCAGGCGGUUUUGUAAGACAGGCGUGAAAUCCCCGGGCUCAACCUGGGAAUUGCGCUUGUGACUGCAAGGCUAGAGUACGGUAGAGGGGGGUAGAAUUCCGCGUGUAGCAGUGAAAUGCGUAGAUAUGCGGAGGAACACCGAUGGCGAAGGCAGCCCCCUGGACCUGUACUGACGCUCAUGCACGAAAGCGUGGGGAGCAAACAGGAUUAGAUACCCUGGUAGUCCACGCCCUAAACGAUGUCAACUGGUUGUUGGGAAUUUACUUUCUCAGUAACGAAGCUAACGCGUGAAGUUGA